GGGAGGCAGCAGUGGCGAAUAUUGCACAAUGGGCGCAAGCCUGAUGCAGCCAUGCCGCGUGUGUGAAGAAGGCCUUCGGGUUGUAAAGCACUUUCAGCGGGGAGGAAGGCGUUAAGGUUAAUAACCUCAUCGAUUGACGUUACCCGCAGAAGAAGCACCGGCUAACUCCGUGCCAGCAGCCGCGGUAAUACGGAGGGUGCAAGCGUUAAUCGGAAUUACUGGGCGUAAAGCGCACGCAGGC
rnacentral:rRNA from 1 species